AUGGGUAUCAAAAGAAAGCUCUCAGAACAAACUUUUCUAAUGCCACCUGAAUCGCUCCAAUCAGACUUCAGAUGAAGCCGGAAUCACGUCGGAAAGCCGCUGCCCAUUGUGUGCACGUUUCUCUCUCUUCUCCCUCUCUCGUCGUCGUGUCUGGUGGUGCUACAGGCUGGCUGGUGGCUCGCCGGCGUCUCCUGAAGCUGCUUGGUCACCGGUCGACAGUGGUUGCUCCCUCACCGGCCUGAAAGUAUGGAGAAAAGGGAGAGAAGAGAUGGGGGAAAGAGAGAAGCGUGAGGGAGGGAGAGAGGGGGCCGAGGGGGGGGGGGGG
rnacentral:misc_RNA from 1 species